AACGAACGCUGGCGGCAUGCCUAACACAUGCAAGUCGAACGAGACCUUCGGGUCUAGUGGCGCACGGGUGCGUAACGCGUGGGAACCUGCCCUUAGGUUCGGAAUAACUCCCCGAAAGGGGUGCUAAUACCGGAUAAUGUCUUCGGACCAAAGAUUUAUCGCCUUUGGAUGGGCCCGCGUUGGCUUAGCUAGUUGGUAGGGUAAAAGCCUACCAAGGCGACGAUCCAUAGCUGGUCUGAGAGGAUGAUCAGCCACACUGGGACUGAGACACGGCCCAGACUCCUACGGGAGGCAGCAGUGGGGAAUAUUGGACAAUGGGCGAAAGCCUGAUCCAGCAAUGCCGCGUGAGUGAUGAAGGCCUUAGGGUUGUAAAGCUCUUUUAACCGGGAUGAUAAUGACAGUACCGGGAGAAUAAGCUCCGGCUAACUCCGUG
rnacentral:rRNA from 1 species